AUGCGCCAGCUCCACCACGGCUGUCCGGCGUACAGCCCACCCCCGCCCGCUGCUUCACCCUUGCUGCUUCCUUCCCGCGGCCGCGCGCUGCUGCAGCCCCCUGCGCGCUGGGCUGCUGCUCCGUGCUGCUCCAGCUCCGCCGCAUCCCCUCGCGCCCCGGAUCCUUGCCUUGACCCCGAGUGCCCACCUCGCCCUCUCCAUCCUCCGGUGCAAUCCCGCACGCGUGCACCGGACCGGGCUUCCUGUGGCUCUGCUCCAACCCCUCCCGCGGCCUCCUCUCCCGCGUCGCCGCGAAACCCACCCCGGAGCGCCACCGCGUCAUCCCCCCGACUCCGUGCCCGCACCGCCGUGGCCGAGUCCCAUGAGCCGGCGCUGCCGCGCGCCCGCCCGCCGGGUCCGGCUCCGCGCCCCCCUGGUCCGGGUCCUCCCGCGCCGCUGUGCCGUCGGCGCCGAGUCCGGCUCCUCCCGCCUCGCUGCGCCGACUCCGCCGUCGGCGCCGAGUCCGGCACAACCCACGCAGGCUGGUUUCCGCCUGCCUCCCGGCCUCUCGAGAUCCCUGCCGGGUCGCCGCGCCUCCGGCCGCCUUCCCGUGCCGGCCCGCUGGCCUCCCGAGCCCCUGCCAGCUCGCCGCGCCUGCCGGCUUCGCACGUGCCUGGCCGCUGGGUUGCAGCGCCCACGCAUUCCUCCGCCCGGCUUCAGGUUGCGCCCGGCCUCCGUAGUCGCCGCGCCGGCUCCGCCCGCAUCCCGGCCGCCCGCGCGCCGCUGGCCGGCUCGCUGCUCCGCCUCCGGCCUGUGCCAGCCGGCUCCCGCACGCCGGCUCCGUCUCCGGCCUGCGCAGGCCGACUUCGCCUCCGACCCGUCCGCCUGCCAGCUCCCGCCCCGUGUGCCUUGAGGCCGGCUGCGCCCGCGCGUUCUGUCGCUGGCUGGAGAAAAAAGAGAGAAAAAAAAGGGGGGCGGGUGAGAGAAAAGUCAAGGGCCGGCUGCCCAAGCCGGCUGAGAAAGAAGUGGCCGAGUGCCCAGCCGGCUGGUAAAAAGAGAGAGAGAGAAAAGAGAGAGAGAGGGCGGCUGGGAGAAAAAGAAAAAGGGCCGACUGCCCGCUGUGGCCGGCUGCUCGUGCAAAGGAAAAGAGGUCCGACUGACCAAGUCAACAGCUGGCUGACGAGAAAAAAGAAAGAAAAAAAAUGCGUCCGACUCUCAGAUAUGCGUCCGACCGCUGGCUGCCUGGCCGGCUGCAAAGAGCCCGACUGCUAUGUCGGGGUCCGCCCGCCCAGCCGGCUGAGGAAGACAAGGAAAAAAACAAAGUAG
rnacentral:rRNA from 1 species